rnacentral:misc_RNA from 1 species
GAUGAAGAACGUAGCGAAAUGCGAUAAGUAAUGUGAAUUGCAGAAUUCAGUGAAUCAUCGAAUCUUUGAACGCACAUUGCGCCCGCUGGUAUUCCGGCGGGCAUGCCUGUUCGAGCGUCAUUUCAACCCUCAAGCUCUCCGGAGUUUGGUGUUGGGGCGCCUGGGGCUUUUCGACCUCAGGGCCCUCAAGUCCAUCGGCGGGACCGCCAGGACACUGAGCGCAGUAGUAUUAUUUCGCUCGGUAGGAUCUUCCACGGCGGGUCGAUCUGGCCGCUAAACCCCCCAAUUCUCACCAAAGGUUGACCUCGGAUCAGGUAGGAAUACCCACUGAACUUAAGCAUAUCAAUAAGCGGAGGA